GUUCCCUUCGUCUAGCCCGGUCAAGGACUCCACCCUUUCGAGGUGGAAACGCGGGUUCAAAUCCCGCAGGGAGCA
rnacentral:tRNA from 1 species